rnacentral:rRNA from 1 species
GACGAACGCUGGCGGCGUGCCUAAUACAUGCAAGUAGAACGCUGAAGGAGGAGCUUGCUCUUCUGGAUGAGUUGCGAACGGGUGAGUAACGCGUAGGUAACCUGCCUGGUAGCGGGGGAUAACUAUUGGAAACGAUAGCUAAUACCGCAUAACAGUAGAUGUUGCAUGACAUUUGCUUAAAAGGUGCAAUUGCAUCACUACCAGAUGGACCUGCGUUGUAUUAGCUAGUUGGUGGGGUAACGGCUCACCAAGGCGACGAUACAUAGCCGACCUGAGAGGGUGAUCGGCCACACUGGGACUGAGACACGGCGCAGACUCCUACGGGAGGCAGCAGUAGGGAAUCUUCGGCAAUGGACGGAAGUCUGACCGAGCAACGCCGCGUGAGUGAAGAAGGUUUUCGGAUCGUAAAGCUCUGUUGUAAGAGAAGAACGAGUGUGAGAGUGGAAAGUUCACACUGUGACGGUAUCUUACCAGAAAGGGACGGCUAACUACGUG